rnacentral:lncRNA from 1 species
CUGUCUCCUAACAGCUCAUUCAGCUGUGAACUCAUCAGAGGAUUAAUGCCUAGAAUGAGGUCAGCACCUUCAUGAUCCAAAGUCCCACUUGUGAAUGCCUGAGUCUUCUGGAGGACAUUUUUGUUCCAGGCUAGAACUACUGCCUUUGCUCAACUCCAAGAUGCCUGUGUCUCUCCUCCUAAGGAAAUUAUUUGUCCUUCCAGCUGCAGGUCCACUUGUAGCACCUCAGGCCUUGGGCCUCCUGUACAUCGUGGCAGCCUCCUCCAGCCUGCUGAUACUCAGCCCCUUCAGGUGACCCUGCCUGCUGUUUCCUGUGAGCUCUCCUGAAUCCAUAUCAGCCAGGUACAUGUGCUGCUUAGAUACUUCCAUGGCUCCCUAAAGCCAUGAAAGAAAUCAGCCUGUAAACAACCCUCUCUACUCACCCACCAGCUGACAGAUAUAUAGGGUCUGGAGGUAAACUGCAGCAGAUACCAAAGGAGCUUGAAGCCAUGAAUAACUGUGUGGAGCAGAG